rnacentral:misc_RNA from 1 species
AAAAUGCGAUAAGUAAUGUGAAUUGCAGAAUUCAGUGAAUCAUCGAAUCUUUGAACGCACAUUGCGCCCGCCAGUAUUCUGGCGGGCAUGCCUGUCUGAGCGUCAUUUCAACCCUCGGGACCCCGUUCGCGGGACCCGGCGUUGGGGAUCAGCCCGAAGCCUCCACCGGGGGCCGGCGGCUGGCCCCGAAAACCAGUGGCGGUCCUCCCGGCGACCUCCUCUGCGCAGUAGUUAACUCGCCUCGCAGCUGGACAGCGGGAAGGCCACGCCGUAAAACCCCCCCAACUCAUCCAAGGUUGACCUCAGAUCAGGUAGGAAUACCCGCUGAACUUAA